UCCAUUGAUUUUUAAAUCGAUAAGAACAAUCUUGGAGUCUCUCUAAAUAUUUCAAACCUUCCAGUAGAGCCCUUGUAUUCGUAGCCUAUAGAGUCUAGCAUACCAAGAGAAAUUAGGUUUUUUUCCAAAGAUGGAACAUGCCUCAUAUUCCUCAGUAGUGUUGCUUUCUCAUCUUUGAAUUUAAGUGUAAUAGAUCCAAUGCCUACAAUCUUACAAGCAUUGUCAUUUUCCAUGUAGAGACUAGGUCUCCAUCCCACACUUUGUAUGUUGUAAACCAUCCCUUUAAUGGUGUCAUAUGGAAUGAACACCCUGAAUCAAGUACCCAAUCAUGAGUGUCUUUAUUACCUUUUGUUUGAAUUGAAUUUUCUUAGAUAGUUAAGGCAUCUGAAUACACAAACAGGGCUUUGUUCUACUAAAGAUGCUUCUGCCUUAGGUUCUUCUUGCUGUUUUUUUUUUCUUUUGAUUUUGCUUUUUCUUUAGAAAGAAACAAUCUUGUAUGAGAUGUCCCUUCUUGUGGAAAAAUGUGCAUUCAAACUUUGAUUUAUUUUUUUGAUUCUUGUAUUCUUUUGAGUUGCUUUUGUUCUUCCCUUUUGAGAACAAAUCUUCACCAUUUGCUUGAUCUCUUUUCUUUGAGUUAAGUUCCAAUUCUCUGAUUUUUAUUGCUGAAAUAACAUCAUCUGUGGUGAAUUUUUUCCUUCCAUGUUUGAGAGCUAUCUUUACCUCUUUGUAUGCACGGUUAGGUAGAUCUUUGGACUUGUAGAUUUCAUCCAAUUUUGUUCACAUUCCAUAAGUUGUUUCUUUACCAAUGACCUCCCUAAGAACAUUGUCACUUAGGUUUAAAACUAUGACACCAUAGGCAACAUUCUCCACAAUUUCUUUGUCUUCUUGAGUCAUUGUUUCAGAUAGCUUUUCUAAAUAUGUGAGGGCUUUCAAUGCCUUUUUCUUGUCGACUAUUGCUUUGAUCUUAGCUUUUCAUAAGGCUCUCAUACCAAUUUGUAGUGGAAGCCACCUAUUUGCAUGUAAUGGUGGGUUCUCUCUCCACUGUCUUUAGCUUUCCCUUUCCUUUCACUUUGUGAAUUUAGAUUACAAAAGAUUAAGAAGAGUUCUCCAAGUUUUCUUCUUCUUUCUAUUACUGUAUUUUUCUUGGUUCUGAUCUUUGGGUUUCUUUAGUAUAUGAUGAGAUGAAGAGAGGAGGAAGUAGAAGAUGAACACACAUGAUUUUAGAGUGGUUCAGUAAGUGCCUACGUCGACUGCGCUUAGAAGCAAUGUAUUAUUUCAGUUUAGUUUUUUUAUCAUCUUCAAAUAUCAAAGUGAUACAAGAUAUUUAUAGGUUUUUCUAUGACUCUUAGUUAAAAUUCUACUUAAA